rnacentral:rRNA from 1 species
AUACGGAGGGAGCGAGCGUUAAUCGGAAUUACUGGGCGUAAAGCGCGCGUAGGCGGCUUUGUAAGUCGGAUGUGAAAGCCCUGGGCUCAACCUGGGAAUUGCAUUCGAAACUGCAUGGCUAGAGUAUGGUAGAGGGAAGUGGAAUUUCCGGUGUAGCGGUGAAAUGCGUAGAUAUCGGAAGGAACACCGGUGGCGAAGGCGACUUCCUGGGCCAAUACUGACGCUGAGGCGCGAAAGCGUGGGUAGCAAACGGGAUUAGAAACCCUAGUAGUCC